UCGAACGAAUCCCGGGGGGCUUGCCCCCCGGGGGAAGUGGCGAAAGGGGCAGUAAGGCGUGGGUAACCUACCCUGGGGACUGGGAUAGCCUCCCUAACGGGAGGGUAAUACCGGGCGAGGUAACGGGGGCGCAUGUUUCCGUUACGAAAUGAAUUUCGCCUCGGGAGGGGCUCACGUGGUAUUAGCUUGUUGGCGGGGUAACGGCCCACCAAGGCCAAGAUGCCUAGCAGGUGUGAGAGCACGACCUGCGCCACUGGCACUGAGACACUGGCCAGACUCCUACGGGAGGCUGCAGUCGAGGAUCUUCGGCAAUGGGCGCAAGCCUGACCGAGCGACGCCGCGUGUGCGAUGAAGGCCUUCGGGUUGUAAAGCACUGUCGAGGGGGAGGAAAGCCCGCAAGGGCCUGACCUAUCCCUGGAGGAAGCACGGGCUAAGUUCGUGCCAGCAGCCGCGGUAAGACGAACCGUGCGAACGUUGUUCGGAUUCACUGGGCUUAAAGGGCGCGUAGGCGGCUUGCCAAGUCAGGGGUGAAAUCUUUCGGCUCAACCGGAAAAUUGCCUUUGAUACUGGCGGGCUGGAGGGAGGUAGGGGCAGAUGGAACUUCCGGUGGAGCGGUGAAAUGCGUAGAUAUCGGAAGGAACGCCGGUGGCGAAAGCGAUCUGCUGGACCUCCACUGACGCUGAGGCGCGAAAGCCA
rnacentral:rRNA from 1 species